AACUGAAAUUGCGGAGCUCUUCUAACUCAUGAACAAGGUUGACCUGGUGCCCAUGCAGACAAUGGAAUUUCCAACAGGAAGACCUUAGAUGUAUCCAGAGAUGGCUUCUCAAGGAUGUCUACAGCCUUGCGUAAAGGGGAGCAGUGAGAAAGGAGUGUUUACUCAGUGUUGGUCGUCCCCAGUAGCCAGACUCGUAGCAAGUGUUUAAUAAAUAUUAUCCUCAUCUAUCGUGAGAGCUAGAGGCCAAGCUACAUGAGAGUCACACACCUGGUCCCCCAGGGGUGAUCGCUCUGUUCUUUCGGGCAUUGGCUGUUUUCAUAUUUAGGUGAUGUGCUGGGACGACGUGAAAUUGCUCAGAAGGCUUGAAGGAUUUCACUGGAAGUAAAAUAAUAUUUGAAGCUGGUGUAGUGAUAAUCCGUCCUUUAAAAUGAAAAGCUAUAUUCAAUUCCAUGAAAUGUCAAUCAAAUAAUUUAUUUAUUCUACCUAUUAAGUGCGCCAUGAAGUGCCCAGAGUUUAGUGGGGGAAACAGACUCACCAACACACAGUUACAAUGUUGAAUGGUUGGUUGAACCAAGUGACCUCAGAAUUUGGGGGCGGAGGAGGGACCUGGGAGGGGGUCAGGGAUCAGUGGAAUUCCACGUGUGCAGUGGAAUCACGGCCUCCCUUGGGGGGUGCGUAUGGUGGUUACGUAAGCUGGUUGGGCCAAGAUCUGCAAAUGUGCUUGACAUUUUAACAAAACAUAGAUGUUAUGGACUGAGUCUUUAAACAACCACACAGUCACACGCAUGGGUGUUUGCAUAUCCAUGCAUGCACUUGUAUCUGAAAUGAAUCUGUUUUCUCAGUAGCUGGAGCGAGGCUAGCAAACGACUUCCUUUUUGCUUUUUCUAGAUGACGUUGGGGAAAGAUGAUGCAACCAUUGUUGAUUUCUUGUGUGCUUCUUCCCAUCCUUCUCCCAGCAUUUACUGGACAUUUACUGUGUGCUGGCACUGUGUUUACUGUGUUAAGUGCUUUACCUUUAUUCUCUCAUCUGAUUUUUCACAACCACUGGAUGAGACGGUGCUAUUAUUACUCCCAUUUCCCAGAUGAAUAAACCAAGACUUAAAACGAUGAAGCAGAUUGUUCAAGGUGGUAGGCCGCUAGUGAAUGGGGCAGUCUGAAUUUAAACCAGGCAGUCGGACUCCAGAGCACAUGGUCUAAACCCCUCUGUGCUUAACAGUCUCUCCCGAGACUGCCCCGUGCCUACCACGGCAUAUGGUGUGUGCAGACACGAAACUUGUUGGUUGAACUGAAUCAAACUGAACUACAAAGUGUUUAACUUCUGUUCCCAAGGGAAGUAUACACUAGUGGUUUUCAACCCGGGCCGUUUUGCUUCCAGGGGACAUUUGGCAGUGUCUGGGGAUGUUUUGAUUGUGACAAGUGGGAGGGGGUGUUAAUGGCAUCUGGUAGGUAGGACAGGGAUGCUGCUGGACAUUGUAUAAUGCACAAGACAGCCCCUCAUGUUAAAAAAUUAUCUGGUCCAGAAUGACAGUAGUGCCAAUACCAGGUGGAGAAAUCCUGGUCUGCAUUAUUUUGGUAACUUUCAGUAAAAUAUUGGGCCAAGAUUACCUUUGAUAACCACAGCAGCAAAAGGUUCAUGCUUAUCACAUGUUUCCUAAGGAGGCUUUGAACAUUUUCAUCCCUGAAUCCCUUUUAUGAGCAGCUUAUAAGUGUUAUUAAAUAUCAUGACUUGUCUUUGUCAUCUCCUGAGAGAGAACAUUAGCAAGAGGUGAGCUGAUAUCUGGUGUCAUGGAAAUAUUAUGCCAACUGGAGAUGUGUGCUUUUAAGACUCCUGCUUUGUGAACUUUCUCUGCAUUUUCUUUGUAUAGCUUAAAAAUGUAAAGAAAAAUAUACAGAUAUAGUUGUAGCAUGUCUGUCUCCUGAAUAAGAUACAAACAGGCCAACUGGAUUAAAGUAAAUUGCAUGCCUGUCAAAUCGCCAGACACACUAAAAUUGUCUCAAUUCUGCAUCCACUUCUGUUUACUUUGGAUUAUAAAAAUACUUGCUACUGUUGUAUGUUUUUCUAGAUUUGACUAUAAUACAGUGCAGUAAAUUCAGGAAAGUUUUUUUUAAUUUUGAUACUUACAGUGAAAAGUUUAAGUGUUGGUAUUUGGCAUUACAUUCAAAAUUUAUCCAUGUGCUCUCAAAUAACAUUUUAUACUGUUGUAGACAUUCUUGUAAACUGUCCCUUCAAAAUAAAUCUACCCUUCUAAUGGUGAACUGUGAUAUCUAUUUCUUAAUGAAAAAGAACUAGGACUAAAAAUCCCCACUAUUGCAUUGUUUUAUUUGCCCACUCCCAAAUGAAUUGAACAGGUUAUGAUAUUUACUACAAUCAUACAUGUUGAAGUUUCAGGGAUGAAGCUGUGGUCAACUAUUGGGUCUCACUGGUCUUUAAAUGUCCUUGUGUUUCUUAGGUCAUGGGUGCUUUGUAGCACUGGCAGGGUCACUGCCAAGAGUGACAUGGAAGAAUCAUUCAGUGCAUGUUGGUCAACCAAUUUCUGCUUGGGGGAUUACUUUUUGGCUUAAUCAUGUCAAGUACAUACAUUACAUAUCAUAAGUUAAAUAGAAAAUACAUUAAAAGUUAGAUGUCUCCCCAAAAUAUUGCCCAUAAUUGUCAAGAUGCUUUUCCCUGCAUUUUCUUCUAGUAGUUUUAUAGUUUCAGGUCUUCCAUUUAAGCCUUUAAUCCAUUUUGAAUUGAUUUUUGUGAAUGGUGUGAGAUAAGGGUCCAGUUUCAUUCUCCUGCGUGUGAAUAUUCACCGUUGUAAACAUUCAAUAAAGGAUCAGUUAUUGAAA